rnacentral:rRNA from 1 species
UGGAGCCUGCGGUUUAAUCGGACUCAAACGCCGGGAAACUCACCAGAUAAGACAGCUGAAUGAUAGUCGGGCUGAAGACUCUACUUGACUAGCUGAGAGGAGGUGCAUGGCCGUCGUCAGUUCGUACUGUGAAGCAUCCUGUUAAGUCAGGCAACGAGCGAGACCCACGCCAACAGUUGCCAGCUCGUCCUCCGGGAUGGUGGGGACACUGUUGGGACCGCCUCUGCUAAAGAGGAGGAAGGAAUGGGCAACGGUAGGUCAGUAUGCCCCGAAUAUCCCGGGCUACACGCGAGCUACAAUGGUUGGGACAAUGGGUAUCGACACCGAAAGGUGAAGGCAAUCUCCUAAACCCAUCCGUAGUUCGGAUUGUGGGCUGCAACUCGCCCACAUGAAGCUGGAAUCUGUAGUAAUCGUGUCUCAAAAUGGCACGGUGAAUAUGUCCCCUGCUCCUU